rnacentral:rRNA from 1 species
AGUAACGCGUGGAUAACCUGCCUUACACUGGGGGAUAACACUUAGAAAUAGGUGCUAAUACCGCAUAAGCGCACAGAGCCGCAUGGCUCAGUGUGAAAAACUCCGGUGGUGUAAGAUGGAUCCGCGUCUGAUUAGCUGGUUGGCGGGGUAGAAGCCCACCAAGGCGACGAUCAGUAGCCGGCCUGAGAGGGUGAGCGGCCACAUUGGGACUGAGACACGGCCCAAACUCCUACGGGAGGCAGCAG